rnacentral:piRNA from 1 species
UGUGGCCGCCUGAGAUUGGACUCCUAGC